UACAAUAAUCAUAUGGUAAUCUCAAGCCUGCUUUUCUUUUUAUCUUUAGGCCAUUCAUUCCAUAUCAACUAAGCUUUGAUUUUACCCUGAACAAUGGUGCUCUUAUGAAUUUCUAACAAAACAAAAGACUAAGAAUCACAGUCUUUUUAAACUGUACUAGGAAGAGGGCAUACAAAAGAUGUAAGCCAAUCUUUUUUGUUUUUUUUUGUUUUUGGGUAGUGAUCUUCUUUUUAUUGUUUUUUCUCAUGUAUAGUACAAUCUUUCCAAAGCUUCUUUUUGCUUCUUUCACUUUAACUUUGUUUACCUUCCAUGAAGAUUGGGCGAAAAAAGGUCUAGUUGAAGCAGCAAAGAGAAGCUGGUAAAAGGUAUAUUGAGAUGAUUUCUUUGGAGCAAUUCUUGACAACAUUUGUAGUUGAGGCCUUUAGAAUGGAAGAAUGUAUUUCACUAAUUUUUGUAUACAUUUCUUGUUUUGUAUUUAGUGAUAAAGGAAUCUGAAUUGGGCAUAAAUUAUGUUGUAAUAUGAUUUCUUAAGCCUAGACUAGUAGACUAAAUAUUGUAAUUACAUUUUGAGUAAUUAAUAAAAAUCUAUUUAUGUUACCUUA